UACGUAGGGGGCAAGCGUUGUCCGGAAUCAUUGGGCGUAAAGAGCGCGUAGGCGGCCCAGUAAGUCCGCUCUGAAAGUCAGGGGCUCAACCCCUGGAUGCGGGUGGAUACUGCUGGGCUAGAGUCCGGAAGAGGCGAGUGGAAUUCCUGGUGUAGCGGUGAAAUGCGCAGAUAUCAGGAGGAACACCGAUGGCGAAGGCAGCUCGCUGGGACGGUACUGACACUGAUGCGCGAAAGCGUGGGGAGCAAACAGG
rnacentral:rRNA from 1 species